rnacentral:lncRNA from 1 species
CAAUGAUGAGAUUGUGAACAAGUUAACCAAUACAGUAUUGAUUAUUAGAACUGUGAUACAAUUUCUGUUAUGAAUCGAUUCUUGGACUUGUUUGAAACUAUUAUAAAAAGGUUAGCACUAACAACAUCUUUGUUGACCGAUCAGUUCAAAUUGAUACAUAAAUAUUUUCUAAAGGAUAAUGCUAGGGUGAAUGAGAAAACGACAAGGAUAGGCAGUAAAGGCUAAAAUUAGGCAAGAACCUAAGCUUGGGGGAGUAUAUGUGGGGUAUAUAAGCUCUAAAAAAAAGAAAAAAAAUGAAAAAAAAACAUAAAAAAAUGUUGAGUCUUGUGGUGGGUUGAGGAGAAACACUCCCCAUAAACACAAGCAUGAGAUGGAGCGUAAAACGAACUCACCAACCAUCUAUCUAAAAAAAAAGAGGACUAAUGACGGGAAAAGAGCAAAAAGCCCCCGUGUGUGAAAAAAAAGAGGAAAAAGAAGAAAGUAUAAGUAUCCUGCAUGAACCCUUGAAUUUGGUAUUGUUUAAUGUUAGUUGGGUUGUGCCUAUCUUUGGAAUUUUUAAGAUUGUACUGUAUGAUUCUUUCUAAGAAGUUGCUUAUGUAUUGAAUUUGGGUCUGUAUCAGUUAUCAUAGAUGUUGAUCACACACGCACGGUAUACCAGUGAUAAUUGUUCAAGAUUUGAGAAUUAAUACGAAAUUGUGGAUUAGUUUUGGAGAUUCAUAUUGUAAGGUUGCUUGUUUUCUCUGAGGCCGACGAGAUAAGUUAGUUUCUGCAAUAUUGUUGGAUUCUUAGCCAUUUAGAUUUGUUUAUUUCAUUGCAUUGCAUAGCAUGUAGUUUGUUUUGUGCUCGAGGACUAGCACAGUUUAAGUUUGGGGGAUUUUGAUAAAUGGAUUUAAUAUACACG